CGGCCUAUCUGAAUUCCCGACCUAUAUGAUAAAUUGGAAUUGAUACAGAAAAGAAAAGCAGGGCCACUGAAGAGGGAUGACACACUAAACCGUGAAGUGUUUCCACAUUUUU
rnacentral:snRNA from 1 species